rnacentral:rRNA from 1 species
CCUACGGGGUGCUGCAGUGGGGAAUAUUGGACAAUGGGCGAAAGCCUGAUCCAGCCAUGCCGCGUGUGUGAAGAAGGCCUUCGGGUUGUAAAGCACUUUCAGUGGGGAAGAAAGCCUUGGGGCUAAUACCCUCGAGGAAGGACAUCACCCACAGAAGAAGCACCGGCUAACUCCGUGCCAGCAGCCGCGGUAAUACGGAGGGUGCGAGCGUUAAUCGGAAUUACUGGGCGUAAAGCGCGCGUAGGCGGUCUGAUAAGCCGGUUGUGAAAGCCCCGGGCUCAACCUGGGAACGGCAUCCGGAACUGUCAGGCUAGAGUGCAGGAGAGGAAGGUAGAAUUCCCGGUGUAGCGGUGAAAUGCGUAGAGAUCGGGAGGAAUACCAGUGGCGAAGGCGGCCUUCUGGACUGACACUGACGCUGAGGUGCGAAAGCGUGGGUAGCAAACAGGAGUAGAUACCCUGGUAGUC